UACGUAGGGGGCAAGCGUUGUCCGGAUUUAUUGGGCGUAAAGAGCUCGUAGGCGGCUCGGUAAGUCGGAUGUGAAACCUCCAGGCUCAACCUGGAGACGCCAUCUGAUACUGCCGUGGCUUGAGUCCGGUAGAGGAGCAGGGAAUUCCUGGUGUAGCGGUGAAAUGCGCAGAUAUCAGGAGGAACACCGAUGGCGAAGGCAGGUCUCUGGGACGGUACUGACGCUGAGGCGCGAAAGCGUGGGGAGCAAACAGG
rnacentral:rRNA from 1 species